UUAACAUGCAAGCUCAGGUGUGGCAAAACUCUGCUCACAUUUUUCAUUAGUUCUAAGUAACGGAUUAAUGGAUUAAUUGACUCGAUUCCUAUAUCGGCACUGGAGGUGAGACUCCUAAUGGGUUGCCAUUUAUCUACCAACUGACAUGACCAGCCUUUCAAAAGGGCACCAGGUCCUAGAACAGAAAACAGAAAAAUAAGGGAGCUGUGAAGACUGGAACAGGCUGAAGUCUUCAUAGGUGACCACGACACAAGGAAGCCAACGAAGUAAAGAGCCACAUGUUCCCUCCAGUGACGGCAGCAGACUACUGAACCUGUUCCCGAGUCACUUCCUGAACUUGUCUGAUGUGUGUUUCUGUUAGACUCAGGCUAAAUCUACAGAGCUGUUCCUGUCUAUGGGAGUUCUGCACCUUGGUGGUGACCAAUCCACGGCUUCUCACCUUCACUCUGUGUUGUCUCCCUUAACACUCAUCUGCCAUGCCUUGCUGUUCAAAAGAAAGAAAAAGGAGAAUAAGGGGAGGCAAGGUGUUUGGUGCCCUUAGUAGCUGGGGUUCAAAUGGGAUCAUUCUUCACAGGGCUCCACCUCCCUUACACCCUGCCCUUACCACACCUACAUAGGCACUGGCACCUGACCUAUCUCUGGGUCUCAUCCUCCCAAUAAUGGUGUAUUGAGGUCUGGUAACCAACCAGUUGUCUUCGUAGCAAUCACCCAGUUUUAUUCUUACUUCAGUGGGGUGUGGUUUACACCCCUCAUUGGUGCCUCCUGUCACAUCAUCGAUUUUCAUUUGAGCUAUAUCAAUCAGCUAAUGCUCCAUCCUUGGCUCAUAUCAAUUGCCUACCAUCACUUAUUAGGUUUAUCAAUUCAUUUCUUGCCUAUCCCCCUCCGGGAUAAUCAGUUUUAGAGUCUGUCAGUUUCCCCUCUAUCACUUUCUCAACAGUCUAGUCCAAUUCAUCGGCUGUGCAGCCGCAAGUCAUCAAUUCCCCUCCUCAGUGCAUUAGAUCCAGUAAGGGCUGGCCUCUUACUUGAGUCUCUAUAGGGCCGAAGCCCCUCACUUGCCAGCCUAUAUCUCUAAGCCAUAUCCAAUAUCCUAGGGCAUAAAACUGUUUAAAUCUCCAUUUUACUAAUCCAGGUAGCUCUUCCCUUUACCGGUCUUUAGGAGUUGUCUUGUCAGUGGACGAGUGCAGCGUCCUGCUUUGUGAAAUCCCACUUGCGGUCCAUCAGUCCAGCUUCUCUUGGCAACUCUGCAGUUUCAUGCAGCUUGCAAAAGUUCUUCCUCCCUUGUGGUUCCCCUCUCUGGGGGAUCUUCAGUUCUGCUGGCAUCCCCUUUAACUUCUGGCUGGGCUCCCUCCGGCCAGUAGGAGCUGGUUCCGGUUUCCCAUGACCCAGAUUCACCCUGCGUCAGGCACGUAGGAUGCCAUGUCCAUCUCAGACUCUGUCAGUGCUGCUCCCUUAGCCACACUAUCUGCCCGGCUUCCCCCAGUAAGUUCUCCCAUGUGUUCGGGCCCAGCGAGACAACCCAGACCAUAACAGAGCCUGUGGCCAGUGCCCUGUUGCACUGCCCAACACUGGGUGAUCCCAGCAGUAAGCACUUCUGGGCCCUUUCCCUGGUGUUAGGAACUGUACCGAUCCUGUUCCUCCCAAGAUCACCCAUGACAAAGAUUUCAUCAUCAUGAACUAAUCAAUGACUGCAUUGGCAUUGCCAUCCAGAAAGCACUAUGGAUGCCAGCUCACCCCCUCAAAGCACUGCAGACAGCAUGGGACUGAAUAGGAGCCUGAAAUCUUUAGUGUUGUAAAAGCAAACAUCUGUUGGGAACAGCUACAUCCCUUUUGGAUACUCGCAGACUUUUAAACUAUCGCUGCAUUACAAGGUCUUUUACAAGAGACAUCAAGUUUGCGAUUUUUAUAAACAUCCACAAAAGAGAAGUUGAGGAAAGUACAAAUGAGUUUCACCUCAGUUUUAAUUACUAUAAUUUUCUCUCGUAAUGGUAAUUUCUGUAAUUAAUGGCUGCAUUUUUCUAUUGUGGCGGUAUUUGGAGAUGACACGAAAUGAGCAAGUGUUUUUGUUUCCGUGACAAAAAGAGAAAAUUAGCUGGUGAAAUGCUGAUCAGAAGUGUUUGGUGGGAGGGGUGUGGGAAGAAAGGGCUGAUAAUAAGUUUUGCAACCAUGUUUCUUUGCCAUAUUAUCUUGUAUUUGCCAUAUUAUCUGUGAGUUAAUGGAGCUAAGCUACAGCCUCAGUAAGGAUGCUGUGCCAUGCAGAAAACCCUCCGCUUCUAAUGUCAUCAUCCAGUAUUUGCCUCUGUGGCUUAGCAGUUGUCUAUUGCAAUUAAGCACUGGAUGGCAGGAAUCUCGGUUCAAAUCCCAACUCUGCUGUAGCCGUCAUGGGUGACCACUUAACUGCUCUUU